rnacentral:lncRNA from 1 species
AUGCAAGUUCAUUUACGGAUAUGGCGAAGUUGAUACCCGGGCAAACCCUUCGUCCAGAACCAAAAGGAAUUAACUCAAAGUUAAGGCCUCGAAAAUCUAUUUUGGAAUUCAAAAACCUCUCAGGUUGAAAUUCCUCAGGGUUCUCCCACAGAAUGGGGUCUCUUGCAAUUGCACUAGCAUUCACCAACACUAGUGUGCCUGCUGGUAUAUCACACCCCAUUAUUUUGAUGUCUCGAGUUGAUUCUCGAGGAACCAGUAAUGGAGCAGGAACAUGACAUCGUAGAGUUUCUUUAAUCACUGCUUUUAAGUAUCUCAUCUUCUCCAAAUCAUCUUGAGCUAUUUCUGGUUUUCCCUGGGUCACUUCUCUUACCUCAGCCUGUAAUUUCUGCAAGGUUAUAGGUUUCUUUAGAAGUUCUGACAUUGCCCAUUCCAUAACUGAUUGUGUUGUGUCAGUUCCAUCGCCAAACAUGUUCUGCAUAACGGAAUGAAAGAAAGCGUUGCUUUAGAACAUGCAUAGAUGCUUUUUUUUUUUUUAAUCUAAAUUUCCAAUUUCAAAAAAAAUUGGCACGUUUGCACCCAAGUAAUAAAUUUGUAGUAGAGUUGAACUUGUCAAAAGAUUAAUAGGUUUAGGUACAUGUAAAUUUAAAAGUUACCAUGUUAUACAUUUAUUAAGUUUAAUGCACGUCAAGUUUUUUGCAUCACUGGACAGAUAACAAAUCCUUAAACCUUAUCGUUUUGGAAACAUUAAAUGGUCUCAAGUUUAAGUGCAUAAAGUUCGGUUAACCCAAGCAACCAUUGAAGAUAUUUUUUUUUUUUUUGAAAAUUGUUUACAAGAGAAGGUAUUCAAAUACUUGGGAUGAAUUUUUCUUUUAAUCUGAUAACAAGGGAAGGUAUUCAAAUAUAAGGGACGAAAAUGAGUGUGAUUACAUACAUUCAUAGUAAUUUUGAUAUAAAUUAAAUAUACUAAAGAGUGUAUAUAUAUAGAGUUGAGUGGUAAUUUUAGAAUUUUUAUAGUGAGUCAACCCUUUUUGUAUGUUUACUUAAUAUCCUGACCUCUUGUUUGGUAUGCAGUAAUGUCCAAAAUAAAAAGGUCUUCUACCCAAAAUGGCAGGGAUAAAUAUUUAUCAUUAUUCAUUCUUCAAUAUUUAGUGUGAUCAAUAUUUAGAUGUCAGAAUAGAAUACAAUUAAUACAUAUUUGACUUAAUUAUCCUAGAUAUGUUUAUGACUUUUAUUUUUUGUUCAAGUAUGUUAAUCUUUUGUUUACAUGGAAUUCGCACAUUUUUUGCUUUCAGAAUCUUUUGUUUACAUGGAAUUUCUACUAUGGAAUCUUUUGUUUUUAUUUUUUUUAUGAAAUUCAAAAAAAAAAAUUCCAUACAACUGUUGGACAGAAUCAGGUCAAACCUGAUGAAUCCGAAAAAAAACAGGUCGAAUUUAGGUCACCCACAGGUUGACCUAUUAACCCGUUUAUGAAUUAAAAAUAAUUUAAUAAAUAUAAAAAUGUUUUAUCUAACUAAACUAAGUUAUUCUUUUUUUUUUCCAAAGGCAUUAACCACUUAAUCUUAAAUGAAUUUGUUUAACUUAUGUGAAGUUGGAAUCAUUAUGUUUGGACAAAAGAUGUAUUACAUUAUUUUCUAAUUUUAUAGUAUCUUAAUUUAUUUUAGAUAUAGUUUGGGAUAAAAACACUUUUACGGUAUUUUAAUUUAUUUCAGAUCUGGUAUGAAAUUGUUUUAUCGAGAUUUUUAUUACUACUUCAUUAUGCAACUAGUCUUGUGUGAAAUUAGUUUUGUUAAAAACUACAGUGGUAAAUUAGUAAAUUGAAAUUAUGUUUCGGGUCAUUUGGGUGAUCAGCCAACCCGAAAAUUUUGGGUUCAGAUCAGGUAUCCUGACCCGUUGCGAGUUGACGGAUCGUGUUCAGGUCAGUGGAUUGUCAACCUGACCGGUCAACCCAUAUCUGACCCGAUUGCCAUUCACAAGAUUUUAUGUUAAAGCAAGGAAAAAAAUAAAAAAAUGAGUCAAACUCAAACAUAAACUGAUCAAACCGGACAAACCUGGUAAAACUCCAACAGUUGAACAGCCUAGCCACUAGAAAUUUUUUCCCUUUAUAUAAUUGGUAUUAUUCAAAUUUUCUAAUUAUAACUAAAAUAAGAAAAUAUUUAAUUGAAUUACUGGUUGAACCAUUAAGGCAUGAACCAAAGGCUCAUCCGCUUCAUUCAACCAUCCGAGUUUAAUAAUAUUGAAUUCAGUAAAUCUUACAAACCAAAUAGAUUUUGAUCUUGCACAUCGGAGUAGAGUAGAAGAAUGCCAUUUAAUAAGUUGUCAUGUCCAAGUCAAAUAAACUAAAAACAUUUGUAUGAUAGCACCAAACAAAAUCUAAACCUUCCAGCCUAGUGCAAGUCACUACCUUCAAAACUAGUACUAGAUGAUUUAUUACUAAUAAACAUAGUUCUUUUCAGAGUUGAAACUAAUUAUAAAUUCUCAUAGUGCGAUGCAAUUAAAGAGAUGGGGAGAGAUCUAAUUUACCAGGAUGAUGGCUUUCAUAUCAUCGCGGCCAAGAGCGAAGCCGAUAGUGCUUUCCUUAUUAACCUCGAUCAGAAUGUCCACAAAGUCUAGGCAUCUUGCCUCAACGGAAUGGUCAUUUUCAGCCUCACCUUUCCUCUUAUUUAUGUGCUCUUCUAUCACACCCUCAAGAAAUUCAUCAAUCAGCUUAACAAAUUUCUCCACUUUCAAGUCCAAACCAUUGAAACGAUUAACCCAUGAAAGCCAAGGAAUGUAGUCUCCUACAUCAAAAACACCCAUUAACUCAACAAAAACCCUCAAAUUUUCCAUAAUUUUCCUCCCUUUUUCUUCCGCACUAUACUUCCUCCCCAGGGCAACCCUACAAAUUAUAUCAUUUGUGAGAGUUACAAAUAUUUCAGUUAAGUUUACAGGUGAAGAAGAACACAUCUGGCUGAUCUUUUUGAUCAUGAGUGAAGUCUCUUCUUCUCUAACAUGCUGAUAUGACUGAACCCUUUUGUUACUCAAAAGAUGCAGCACACAAAUGCUUUUGGCUUGUCUCCAAUACUCACCAUACGGUGUAAAUACUACGUCCUUACUUCCGUAGAAUAGUCUGUCUUUAACGCUCGAUUUAGGCCUGUUUGAAAAAACCAGAUCAUGGGUUUUCAUGAUCUGGCUAGCUGCAUCAGCGGAAGAGGCUACCAGCACUGGCUUGCUUCCAAAAUGAAGUAGCAUGAGUGGGCCAUAUUUUCUUGACAAUGAUUGGAGGGAUCUGUGCGGAAGCAAGCCAAGCUGGUGAAUAUUUCCAAUUAUUGGGAGCUUUGGUGGAGAUGGUGGUAGCUUUUUUUGGGGUUUAGAAGCAGCAUAGAACCAUUUCAAAAGGGCUAGAAGGAAUACAACUGAGCAAACUGAGAAAAAUAAAAGAUCAAAAGAGAACGCCAUGGUGUAUAUGAUCUUAUGUUUGCCUAUUAAUGGGCUACUCUUCUUAUAUAAGGUUACAGACUGCUUUUAGAAUUGAAAUCCCAAUUAUACACCUGACAACAUUAGGACCAGAAAUGUACAUUUAAUUAUUUAGUACGAGGGAUGAUUUAAGCCCGAGAGUAUUAUAUGUCGGAGGAUGAAUUAGAUAAUAUAGAUAAAAAUAAUGUAAGUGGGGGAUUUUAAAUUCAAAACCUGUCACUGCACUUAAUGAUAAAAAAAGUAAGGAGCCCACACAUUACACAGGACAAAAUUAAUUGAUUGGUCUCUGAUUUAUCUUUUGGAGCUAUGGUAUUUUUGUCCGAUUUAUAUUAUUGGUCUUUGAUUUAUCUCUUUGUUGGGUGUGGGCCAGCAUAUUUGUGGGCCAAACCACACAAAAACAAACACGCAGGUUUCCAUUCUUAAAAGGAGGAAAAAAGCUUCGGCCACAAGACUGAAAAACCGAGAAAAAUAUAAGGAGCAGCCGCAAGAAGACUUUUCUUCUUGUGAGAAGAUUUCCAGCCGCAUAAUUCAAGAGAGAAACAAAGAGAGAGAAAGGGUGAGAGCUAGAGAAAAUUCUUUGCAACUUUGAAACCUCAAUUGAAAGGUGAUUUAAAAUUUGAUUGAGAUAAAAUUUUAUUCAUGCGAUCCUCUUGUCAAACUCUAUUCAUCUAUUUGUUUAGAUUUUGGAUUCUUCUUGUUUGGUAAUAUCCUUUCAAACCCACUUAUUUGACGGUUGUAAUUUUUUAGGGUGAUUUUAUAGUAAUUUCAUUUAAUUGGUAUUGGUGAUAUUAUUGUCAUUCGAAUACUUUCAGGUAGAUCUGUAUAUUUUCAUUAUUGUGAUAGUAGAGCUUUUUACUGAACUAGAUCUCGUGAUUUUUCUCAAUUUGGAUUUUUCACGUAAAAAUCUUGGUGUCCUGUGCCUUUUAUUUUUCCUACAUUUUAUUAUCAUUGUUGGCAUUAUUACUUGGUGAUUUGGUUUAUUCCUAUUUUAACUAGUAUUUGGAAAAAGAGAUAUUUGUUUUGAGCAAAUUCUGAUAUUGUGUUCGUUUAUCAGUACCCCUCUCCCAACGCUCUUGGACCUAUGGUAUUGGAAUCAUGGAGAAAACUCCUUCGUGAAAAAAUAACCAUUCACAUUUUGCAAAAUUUGAUUCCAAGAAAUAGGAAAAAGACGUUUAGCAUAGCAUAUCUUUUUGCUCCUUGGAUGAAGAAAGCCGGAACAUCGAAUAUUCCAUUUCGGCCAUAGCCCACAGCCGGCAGUUGAUUCUCCUUGUUGCCACGCACGUCUUAUCAAAUUAUGUAACAAAAGUUCAACGGUUAGGUACCAAAAUAGGCAACGCCGUCUAGGUUGCCACAAUCAAUUAUAGCUAUCAUUUUGUGUCUUUGAAGAAAAUUUGACAUGCAAUUUUCAUAUUUUCAAGUUUGAACUAAUGUUUGCCAAUCCUAAGACUUAUAAGUCUUGGAAAGUUGAGAGGUCAAGGGUUCAACCCUUACCUUUGCUAAACUUGCCACUUAAUUGUAACUGUCACCUUCGGAUGGCUUUCUUCGACGGGGUUUUCCGUCGAUUCUCCCUCCCCUUAGAUUAAAUUAGAGUAGGUUAUAUAACUAUUAUCGUUGCGACAAAAAAAAAAAGUUUGAACUAAUGUUUAAUAGUAUAAUGCACCAUAUGCUUGUGACUUGUGAGUUUGGAUUUUCUUUCGGAAUUUUGAGGAACUAAUAUUUGGAAAUUUUAUUAAUUAACUUUUUCUACCAAGGCACGAUAUUCUUCAACUCUAGAAAUAUUCGAAUAUAAAGUAUUACCUCGUUUGACAAAAAAAAAAAAAGAGUAUAGAGUAUUACCUCAUGAAAUGUAUUACCAUGAGCUGAUUAAGCUGUAAUUGGUUUAUGUUCAUAAUACUGGCUUCUGUAGGUGAGUGUGAUGGGACCAUCACAGAUCAAACCACGUGAUUUGAAGAUUAUGAGUUUUAUCUAUAGUAAAUUUGACAAUUGUUACGCCUUUCAAAAACUAAUGAUUAGUCUAACUCAUUGGAUAAUCAAAAGAUUUUGCUUUACUUGGUUUUAUUUGUUAUACAAUAAAAUUUCUGCUCCAAAACGCUAUAUAUAGCAUUUGAAGCUAUGCUAAGAUGGAAUAGCCCCAUGGCACUCUCUCUGCACUCGUAAUAUCAUAGAGUAAUCAAAUCAUCAAACCAUUCAUAGUUUGCAUAAUAGCCCCCAAGAAACAGCAAAAAAAGGUUUUGCUGAUAAAAGUAGUUCCUUGACGCAAUUAUGCACUGCAACAUCUUAUCAAAUGAAAGAAGUACAGUUUUCCAAAAUCAAUCAUAGGGAAUUUGAACUGUUAUUCCUUCGAAACGAGGGAUUUAAUUACAAUUUUCUGUUGUUACAAAUUUUCAACUGUUAGAUACAGAAAGCAUCCUCCUCUCUGAUGUUCCCAAAUUGAUGCAAAUUCUACAUCCAACUCAGAGUUAUCCUGCAGCUGAACUGUUGGAUAGACAUAAUAAGAGAUAACUCAGAAUACAAACCUUUUUUAAUUAUUGAUCAGUAGCUUAAAUACAAUUUGCCAACACUAGAUAUUUGCUGUCUGGUUAUUUGGAGAAUAGAUCAGUAUAAGGUCCACAUUUAUACUUGAAAAGAUAGGUAAAGAAGGCCUCUAACUUGUAUACCAGCUUUGCCAAUGCAAGCUUGUUGAUAGCCACAACAAAGGUAGUACCAGGGCAACCCCUGCGUCCAGCACCAAAUGGAAUUAACUCAGAGUUAAAACCUCUCUGGCUGAAAUUCUGCAGGCUGAUUCCAAGCAAUGAUCUCGUGCAAUUGCCCAAGCAUUUACCAUUACUGCUGCACCUGCUGGUAUAUCAUACCCCAUUAUCCUAACGUGUUUAGUUGAUUCUCGACGAACGAAAUAAUGAGAUUGAAGUAUGAAGUCGUAAAGUCUCCUUAAUCACUGCUUUCAAGUACUCCAUUUUGUCUAAAUCAUCUUCACUGAUUUCUGAUUUUCCUUCAGUUAUUCGUCUUACCUCAGUUUGCAAUUUCUCCAGGAUUUUGGGGUGCCUCACAAGUUCAGUCAUUGGCCACUCCAUAUUGCAUCAGUCCUGCACCAAACACGUCCUAAUCAUGGGAUUUGAAAAAGAAAAAGGAAAUGCUGUUUUAUUGAAAACAAUGACAUUCAAAGUUGAAAAAAAAUGACAUUCAAAGUUGAAGAAAAUGACAUUCAAGCACAUCUUUUCUAUUUCAAAGUUGACGUGGAAUUAUAUGAUUGUUUAUCUGAAAGUUAACGUUGAAUUGUAUACCAUAACAAAACAAAACUAAUAGGGUAGCAUAAUAAUUUGUUCUCUUUUUUUGAUAUUGAUUUUAUCUCUUACCCUGCAAUUAAAAAAAUCUAAAAAGUGUGUUAGAUCACCUCUUUAGUUUAGAUGAGUUUGUCUUCCAUCUAACUCCUUAUACAACCCAUUUAGAUUCCCCCUCUCUCCUAGAAUAGGAUAGUAUAAAUGUAGCUAAUUGACAAAAAAAAAAAAAAUUCUAAUUACGCAAAACAAAAUGUUUAACUCCAGGUACAAGUAGAAUAUAAUUUUAGUCUUCUACAAAAUACUGUUUAUUACUAAAGCUCUGUAUGGAUUAGAUAUUUUUAGACCUGAUUUUCAUAAAUUUUACUAUAACAGUAUAUAUGAAAAAAUUGUUACUAUAGUUUUUUAUUGGACUGUUUUUAGAAUUUUAAAUAUUAUUGUUGGGAUAUUUGUAAUAUAAAAAUCCCCCCUACCUCCACCCCUGCCCUCCUCCUCUCUUCUCUCUCACUUUUUCUCCCUUUCCUUCCUCCCGUCUCCCUUAACUUCUUCAAAAUUAGGAAAUGAAAGAAAGCCCAAUUUUAUUUUUCUUUUUUUAAGUGCUAUAAUUGGCUAUUUGCCUAAUCUUGAAGAAGCAUAGGAAGAGUAAGACCAAGAUAAGGAGAAGAGACAAUGAAAAAUCCAAAAUGAACAAAUUAGCAAUGAAAAUGCAAAGGUCCUUGAUUAGCCUCUUGUGGUUAUGGUUGUGUUUAAAUAACAAAUCCAUGCGUGUGGCUUGACUCUUGAAUAUUUCAAACACAUAUUAAUGUACAAAAGUAUUUUUUUUUUGAGGAGAAACAAAAGAGUAAGUUGUCUUUGUCAAUAAUAAAUCUUGAAGAUUACCAUCGGAAUUGAACCCAAUCAAAGUUUUACUUACACAUAUAUAUUCCUUGUUCAAAUUAUGUUUGGUUCAAUAAUGGAAUUACUUCAUACACGUGAACACAGCAGUAUAAAUAUGUAGUCAUCGAUUAAUAAUGGAGAAUUACUUAAAGGUUGGUCUAUGUGAUGGUGGAUAAUAAGAAUUGAACACGACAAUAGAGAAGGAAAAUAAACUGAACAAAGAAGAAAAAAAAAUAAAAGACAAGAAAUUACAAUUAAUGGGAAUUUGGCACCGAUUUUUGUUAUUUUAUUUUCCCAAGUAAUUAAAAAGAUAAAAUUACUAGAUAAAAUAAAAUAACUAUAGGAUGGGAUAAGGGUUCCUAAUAAACUGAAACUCUUACCCAAACCACCUACUAGUGGGUAGUGCUAGGUUUAGGAUUUUAUUGAAACCCUAGCAAGAAAAAUAACACCCUCCUUGCCUUUCUUUCAUCUGCCUCCCUAAAGCAAGAGCCGUCAGAGAAUAGAGAAGGAGAAGCAGGCGACACUGUCAAUUGAUCAGACGACUAGGCACCUAAAUCUAUAAGUCCCGAGUUCACGCAAAAUUCCUCUUUUAAGUUUUAGUAGUUGAAUUAAUUGUCCUAGAAAUUUUACGAAUAUGGAUUGUUGCUAUAUAUAUAUAUAUAUAUAUAUAUAUAUAUAUAUAUAUAUAUAUAUAUGUAGAUACAUAUAUUUUUAGAAAGAUUCAUAAGUGGAUCCAUAGGAAUAGGGUGUUAGAUUUGAAUCUGUGAGUAAAUAGGUUGCCCAAAUCUGGUGCAGGAAAAAUAAAAACAAAAAUAAAAACAAAACAAAAAAAAAAGGGAAGAGAAGAGCCGCUGCUCUGUUUUGGCUAGGCGUUGCAGCAACGCCUCACACACAAAAAGGGAAGAGUGGGGGGCCGCCAUCGCUGGCGGCAGAGAAAGAAUUUGCAAAAGUUGGCAUUUCGGCCAACCCAAGACCAAAGCAAAAAAAAAAAAAAAAAUUUGAAGAGGAUGUCGCCAGCACUUGCUGGCAACAAUGAACAAAAGUCAUGGUUGGGGUUCAACUCGGGGACGGAGAAAAUUUGGCAAAUUAUACAGGGGCCAAAACAUUAUAUAAAUGUAGUAAAUGUGUAAAAACUAAAUUUUAAAUUAUAAAUUAUAGUUUAUCGUGGGUAUUAAAAAUUCAGGACCCAAUUUAAAAUAAUUGUUAGAAUUGAAAGGUUAGUCAUGUAAAAUUAUACUUAGUUAAUUACGUAUAGGAUACUUAAAUGGAAAUCUAAAAACAUUAGCUCCAUUUGGAUUAGCUGAUUUUAAGGGUGUUUUUGAAAAAAUUUACUAUAGCAGUGUAUAUGAAAAAUUUUUACUUUAAAAUUUUUUUGAAGUAUAUUUGAUAUAUUGUAUAGACGAAAUGUUUUUUGAAUUAUUGCAUAUUACUGUAACAUUGUAUUUGAAAAAAUGGUCAAUCCAAACAGAGCGAUUGUAAUUUAGUCGUAUUAAGCUAAAUUGGACAAGGUGAGAUAAGUUUUAAAUGGUUAAACGAAAUGCUUAAAAUAAUAAUAAUAAUAAUAAUGCUGAUAAUAAUACUAAUAAUAACACUAAUGAUAAUAAUCCUAGUAGUAAAUAAUAAUGUUGACGAUAACACUAAUAAUAGCGAUAACAAUAAUAAUGAAUAAUUAUAAAUUAUAAAUAUGUAUAAUAAGAUAAUAGUCAAGAUAAUAAACAUGAUUAGGAAUAAUUAUUUUCUUUUAAAUCAUAAAACUUUACAAAAAGGAGAACUUUCCAAAUUAAGAAACUUUCUAAAAAUAGAAACUUUCGAAAUUAGGAAACUUUCCAAAAAUGAAAAUCGUCCAAUUUAGGGAAAAUGCUGUUAGAGUUCAUACAAUGGUCUAGACACGAAUCUUCGACUUACUCAGAGUUUGUAUGUUAUGUAUUUAUAGGAAAUAACAACUAAUUAGGAAGCCUAUGCAUUUGAUAGGUACGUUACCAGUUUAAGAGAGCUAAGGUAGUUCCACUCGAGCAGCUGGAUAAAGGUAGGUGGUACUUACCCUUCUGAGAUUUCAAAGGUGCAAAAAUGAAAGUUUCGUUUUCAAUCUUGUUUUGUUGUGUUGACUCGCAACAUAUUUGAUUAAAUGCUUUACUUGGAUAUUGAUGAAGGUUAUAUUUUUAUUAUACAAAAAUGAACCAUGUGACUUAUUUGAAAUGUUUUGAUAUGUUACCAAACGAGUUGAAUCUUUUAUGAAAUCAAAGAUUUGUGUAUAUGACGUGUGGAAUGAAUUUUUGACAAGUAAAACUCAAAACAGUCAUGGAAUAGAGGGUAGGGACUAUAGUCCUGCUUAAUCGUCAUGGUAGUCUGGUAUAAAGUCUGACCGAUUGACAAAGUCAUGGUAGCCUGGUAUAGAGUCCGGCCGAUUGACAAAGCUAGGCUACGUCUGGCCGGUUGGUAAGGUCAUGGUAGCCUGGUAUAAAGUCCGACCGAUUGAUCCAUGUAUAAAAAGAGGUCAAUCGGUAGUCAUGAAACCUAUUGGUCGCCCAUCUAGAAGGGGUUUAAUCUCUAAACUGAGUACUCAGUAGUCGGUCAUCACAUGUACUUGUUAUGAGCUAAUAUGAAAUGAUUUAUGAGUUGAUAUGGAAGGAUUUAUGAACUGAUCUGAAAUGAGACCUAUGAACUGAUUUGUGAAUUGAUUUAUGAGUGGAUAUGAAGAGACUUGUGAAUUGAGAUGAAAUGAUUUAUGACUUAUGAUUUUCCAUAUUCAUUUAUCAAUAGGGUACUUUUAAAUUGCUUGCCACUUGUUACUACUGAUUGCUUUAUAAACGACGUUACUUUCAAAAUUAUGGAUGUGAUUGAUGCGCAAAUGAUUUGCUAUAUAUCUAUAUGUAUGUAUCUAUAAAAUUACGAGUACAUGAUCCAACAGAGGGGUAGUUAUUAUCUACUGGGCGAUUUGUCGCUUAACCCACUUUUUACCAUCCUUGCAGAUUCUGAAGAGUAUGAGUUGGUUUACGUGGAAGACCCUGAGGACGACUUUUGUUAGCUUUAAGUGAAUAGAAGUUGGCAGGCUAGCUACUUCUAGUUGUUAGUCUUAUUUAUUUUCGAUUCCGCUGUUUCCAUUAGAAAAUAAAUGUACGAACAUAUUGGAUAUUCGUAGACUACUUUUUUAUGAGAUUUGUACUGCACUUUAUUUUAGUUAUAUUAUUUCGUACUUUUGAAGUUUAGACUAGUUAAAUGAUGCCUUGUAUUCUUUAGUGGGAUUUGAGAAUACGACGGAUGUCACGUGACGGGCACGUACGGGCUCGGGGCGUGACAUGAACUAUCAUCUGAAAGAAUAUACAACUCAAACUAUUAAUAUUAAGUUAUAAUUCAAAAAGAUAUACAGAAGCUAAAAUGAAUUUGGCUUAAUGCCAUUUCUCACCAAGUAAUUUAAUAUUUUGUCCUUCCUUCUGUGUGAUCGUGGGGGAGGUUUAAGGUUCAAAGCUCAAAGCUCAAAACUCCAAGUUGAUUGACUAUUUCAAAUUUUCAAUUGCAUGCUUUGCAUAUCGAUGCAGAUCAAAUCUCUUUUUUUCUGCAAUUAAAGGUAGAAUAUCAUUCGACUAUUACCAUUAUCAUCAGCAGAUAACAUUCUGAUAAGCAUUGCUUUGUUAAUUGUGCUACCACAACUGAGGAUAAUGCUAAUUGGUGUAUACAAUCAAUGCUUCAUGCCUCCUCAAUAAAACUAGUUACAGGGGGGAGGUGGGAGCAAAGAGCAAAUAACAGAAAUUUAUUGUGGUACCUAAGGAUAAAUUAAUAUACCAAACAUCAAUAUUAGAUAUCCACUGGCUGGAUCUUUACUGAAUAAAUCAGUAUAAGGUCCAUAUUUAUACUGGAAAGGAUAGGUAAAGAGGGUGUCUAACCAGAAUGUGGAAUAGCUACUGCAAACAGAGGAUUUUUUCUAUGGAUAGUGAGACCAGUGGAUUCAGACAUGUCCAAAUCCUUUGGUUCAACUCCAUCAGGCAAUGCAAAAUCAAACUUGUGUACCAAUUUUGCUAAUGCAAGCUCGUUAACGGCCACAGCAAAGGUAGUACCCGGGCAACCCCUUCUUCCAGCUCCAAAUGGAAUUAACUCAAAGUUAAAACCUCGAAAAUCGAUUGUACUGUUCAAGAACCUCUCUGGCUGAAAUUCUUCAGGCUGAUUCCAAAGCGAUGGAUCUCGUGCAAUCGCCCAAGCGUUCACCAUUACUCGUGUCCCUGCCGGUAUAUCAUACCCCAUAAGUUUAACGUGUUGUGUUGAUUCUCGAGGAACGAGUAGUGGGAUUGGCGUAUGAAGUCGUAAAGUCUCCUUGAUCACUGCUUUUAAGUAGUCCAUUUUGUCUAGAUCAUCCUCAGUGAUUUCUGGUUUUCCUUGAGCUACUUGUCUCGCCUCAGUCUGCAAUUUCUCCAAGAUUUUUGGGUGCCUCAAGAGUUCGGUCAUUGCCCAUUCCAUAACUGUGUGUGUUGUAUCAGUCCCAGCAGCGAACAUGUCCUAAUCAUAGAAAGCGAAGAAGAAAAACAGAUGUUGCUUAAUUGAAAAAGAAAAUCUCAUUGAAAGUUGAGAAACUAAUAUGAGGAAAACAUUUGUAAGAAGUUUAGCUCAUCAAUGGUGAACAUCAUUAAAUACAGAUAAAACAGUUUGGUUUGGCAUUGUAUCAAUUGAUGUGUUAAAGCUGAAGUAUGUAAUAUUCCUCAGCCUGCUAAUAUACAAAUAAGUGGUGCAUAAUACAUACUGCAUACUGAAUUUUAGUUGUAUACACAGUUCAUCAAAUAGUAUAAUUUUGUUCUACCUUCGAACAAGCUAAAACCUUCAUGGUUGAAAUUUCUGUAGGAAAAGCUCUACUUGUUAAUGCCUAUGAUCCUUUAUCCAAAUGUACUUAUCCGUGGAAUGAAUUACUAUGAAAAACCGUCCAACAUGCAAACCAGUAGAGAGGAAAUUAAUUCAUUGAAAAUUCUUUAGCAGACCCCAUCUGCUUGACAAUAAAUUUACACUUAUUUACCAGUUAUUGUACUGGCUUCUAACAUGUAUGUGUGAGAUAGAAAAUAAUUGGAGAACGUAUUUUCAAGAUUAAAUUUGUGAAAACCAUCGCCAUCCAAACUAACCUUUAUUCAUUUAAAAAACUAGACACAAAUUACACUUUGACUCCCUAUGGUUUAGUACUUUUUUAUAUAACUCCCCUAUGGUUUCGAAAACUAUACAUAACCCCCAUCACGAUUUGGACUAAAAUGUCAAAGUGACGAAAUUUGUAAUCCAUAACGGAAUCAACUAAAAUAUAAAAAAUACUCCAAUGUAAAGUUAAAAAUUAUUUAUUAACCACAUGAGAGUUAUGCAUAUAUUUUGAAAUCCAUAAGAGGGUUAUAUGGUAAAGCACAAAAGUAUAAUGUGGUUAUAUAAUAAAACAUAAAAUUAUAUGGGGUUAAAGUAUCAUGCAUAUUAUAUUUCUAUAUUUUGAUCAUUUCAACUAUUUUAGUUUUUAAAUGAGACUAAUUUUAAUAUUUUCAUAGGUUCCGUUAUGAAUGAUAAUUUCUUUCACUUUGACACUUUAAUCAAAACUAUGAAAGGAUUAUAUAUAGCUUUUAAAACUAUAGGGAAUUAUGUGAAAAGUAACUAUACCAGAUAGGGGCAAAUUGUAUUUUGUCCAAAAACUAGUUUGAAUAAUUGGUGCUCAUUAAGAGGGGGUUCAAGUAUUAGUUCUUUUUAAAAAGUGUAGUUAAUUUGAAAAAGUGUCUAAAUGCAAAAAUAUGCAAUAAUUGUGAUUGUGUAAAUUCACAUGAUAAAUUAUUUGUAAGUUAAAUGUAUUAAAUCAAUACUCACUGGACAACCAUUAGAAAAAUCUUUAAAAUUUAAUGCAAAUUGAAUAAUAAAAUGAAGGUAUUCCAAGUUUAGAUCAGCUAUACACAAAAAGAUUUUCAAGAAAAGAGAGAUGGCAUUAAGCCAGUACGGUAGGAUAGCCUAAUGAGUUUAUGGUUGGAGUACCUAUAAACAAGAUUUCUUACCAAAAUGAUUGCUUUGAGACUGUCAAGUUCGAGUGUAAAGCCUGUCGACUUUUCCCCCUGAAUUUCAAGCAAGAUAUCCACCAAAUCUGAGCCUUUUCCCUCUAUAAUAUCAUCAGUGUUUGCCUUUCCAUUUUUCCUAUCUUUGUGCUCCUUAAUGACACCUUCCAGAAAUUCAUCAAGUUGCUUAACAACUUUUUCCACUCUAUCAUCCAAAUCAUUAAGACGUCUCACCCAUCCAAGCCAUGGAACAAAAUCCCCUAUAUCAAUAGUACCUAACAACUCAGCAAAUUCCUUCAUGAUUUGCAUACUUUUGCUUCCAUCUUCCCUAUCACUGUACUUCCUCCCCAAGGCCACCCUACAAAUCACAUCAUUUGUCAGUGUCAUAAGAAGAUCACUCAAGUUUAUGGCCGAUAAAGGCGGCGAAGAAGCCGACAAACUUCUAAUCUUUUCAACCAUAAGUGAAGUCUCUUCCUCUCUUACAUAUCGAAAUGACUGAACCCGCUUAUGACUUAGAAGCUGGAGCACACAAAUACUUCUCACUUGCCUCCAAUACUCACCGUAAGGUGAGGCUGCGAUAUCCUUGCUGCCAUAUAGAAGUCUAUCACUCAUGCUUGUUUUAGGCCUGUUAGCAAAGACUAAAUCAUGGGUUCUCAUGAUUUCACAAGCUGCAUCAGCUGAAGAGGCAAUAACCACCGGCUUGCUGCCAAAAUGAACCAGCAUGAGGGAACCAUAUUUUCUUGAUAAUGAUUGAAGUUUGCGGUGAGGAUAUAGCCCGAGUUGGAAAAGAUUUCCAACAACUGGAAACUUUGAUGGAGAAGGUGGCAGCCUUUGUUGGGGUUUAGAAGAAGCAUAGAACCAUAUAAAAAGGGUUAGAAGUAGCAAAGCCACGGGAAGAAGAGAGGAAAAUGUAAGAUCCAGAAUAAACGCCAUUACAUGCUUCUCGAAAAUUGGAGAAAGGGCCAAAUCAAAAAAGCAGAAAUUUGUUGUUGCUGCUACAAUUGGCUAUAUAUAUGCCUACUUGAUUAAGUCGAAAAGGAUCACCAGAAUUCUGCUUCUGUUCUGAUGAUCCUUGAAAUUUCAGUUUGUGACGGUAGCAAAUGCAUCCUCAGUAAAUGAAUCAAAGCCACACAUUGGAAACAAUAUCUAUAGGGCCUGGCCGAUUAUUUUGACUUUAGUGGCUGUACUGGCAGAACAAAUUUUGGAUGAUAAGUCCUACUCGUAAGCAAAUUCCAAAAAUUGGAUUGGACUUAUAUUCGCACCAUCAUACAUGUUGAAAUUGAUUAAGCACUUGGCAUUUGAGAUAUUAGUUUAGACAUUUUACAUCUAAAGAUUAGGGCAAAUUACACUUUAUCCCCUGUAAUUUAGUAUUUUUUUACAUAACCCCUUUAUAGUUUCAAAAACUAUACAUAAUCCUCUCAUAAUUUGUAUUAAAGUGUCAAAGUGGCGAAAAUGAUUAUUCGUAACGGAAUCACCUAAAAUGCCAAAAAUAUCCUUAUCUAAACUUGAAAAUUAUUUAUUAACCAAAGGGGGUUAUGUGUAUAUUUUGAAAAUCAUAAGGGGUUAUAUGGUAAAGUAUUAAAUCAUAAAGGGGUUAUAUGGUAAAUUGUAAAAUCAUACGGGUUUAGUGUGUCUUGUAUUUAUAAGGGUAAUUUCAACAUUUUUAAAAGUUUCGUUACGAAUGACUAUUUCUGUCACUUUGACACUUUAAUUCAAAUUAUGAGGGAGUUAUGUAUAGCUUUUGAAACUAUGAGAGGAUUAUGUAGAAAAUAUUAAAUCACAGGGGAUAAAGUGUAAUUUGCCCUAAAGAUUACAUGACGUGUCACUUUUCUAGCAUAAUUUACUAGUUCACAAAAAGUUUUGGGGAAAAAAAAAAGAUCUCGUGCAAUCUUAAAAUUCCCAUUCAAUCUCCAAAAUCAUGUCAACAGAAAUCUCACAGUGAUUAAAGCUAAUACUAAACAGAAAUCUUUGUUCGGAAGUUAACAAAGACUUUGGGGGAUGUAACUUUAGUAUGCAAAUGCGAAAUAUACUAUGAAUGAAUAUGAUUACCAACAUAACUUCUGGAGUCCAGAAGAAGCAUAGGAUUUUUGAAGAGGUCAAGCAUAGGAUUAAAACCAAACGAAGAAUUGAAGAGUGCAAAUUAAAAUAUCCAAAAUUAAUGGGAUUUUGCUUCUUGCAAUUAGUGUUACACGAUUCUUCAGUGCCAUUGAUUUGAAAGAUCAGCAAUAAAACUGAAAAGGUUGUUGAUAGGCUUUUAGAUUGUGGUUAUGUUCCAUAUGUCUUUCGGAAGAUGGCAAAGGUUAUAUUAUUGAUUUGCUUUCAUCCAAUUCCACACACCUAGUAUCAUUUAUGAUCUUGAAAUUAGCAGCAAAAAUAACAAAAAAAAGGGGAAAGGUUUAUUUCCCUCUCGAAUAUUAAUGAUAUCAAUGUCACUGUAAAGCUUAACUAAUACGAUUAAAAUUAAUGACAAUUAUUUGUUCAUUAAGCAAUAUUGCUUAGUGCCUUAGUUGUCUUUUGAUUUUCUUAUUAAGUAAUAAGAACGCAAACCAACCUGCUAAUGAACCAUGAAUUCACGAGCAACUUGAUAUUAAAGUGAUAGACCAUAAAAAUAGGGAGUGUAGGCAACACUAAUAUCAUCACCCAACCACAUAGCUACCAUCUCAAUGUUACAUAUUUCGGGGAGAAUUUCCAAGAGCUACAUGCAGGCUAAAUAUAACAGGCAAGACAAUUUACAUAAGUUCUCAACUUGAUCUUGUAAACCUUGCCCUAGGACAUGCUAAACUUCUCUGUGCCAGGAGAGAAACUAAGGAGAAUAUGGAGUGGCAAGAACAAGUAUAGGAAGUUUUCUAUGCACAUCGAUGCCACCAGCUUCAGUCAUGUCCAUGUCCUCUGGUUUUCCGCCAUCAGGCAAGGCAAAGUCAAAUUUGUGCAGUAAUUUUGCUAAUGCAAGUUCAUUGAUAGCCAUGGCAAAGGUCUUACCGGGGCAUCCCCUUCAGCCGGCACCAAAUGGGAUCAACUCAAACCUCGAAAAUCUAUACCAACAUUCAGAAAUCUCUCUGGCUGAAAUUCCUCGGGCUUCUCCCAAAGCAAAGGGUCUCUUCCAAUUGCCGCCCAUGCGUUGACGAUUACUCGUGUUCGAAUCGGUAUACCAUACCCCAUUACUUUGAUGUCUCGAGGAACUAGAAAUGGAACUGGGAAAUGAAGCCGCAGAGUUUCCUUAAUUACUAGCUUUAAACACUGCAUUUUGUCAAAAUCAUCCUCAGUUAUCUCUGAUUUUCCUUGGCCUACAGCUCUGACCUCAUUUUGCAAUUUCUCCAUGACCUUGGGGUCUCUUAGAAGCUCUACCAUCACCCAUUCCAUGACUGUAUGAGUGGUAUCCGUUCCAGCUGCAAACAUGUCCUAAUCAUGCAAAGUAGAAGCCAAUUGUGAAUAAGUUGAUGUAAAGCGCAGUUUUAUAUAUUAUAUGCCUUAAAGAGUGGUGACUCUUGCCAUGAUCACGUGGGAUCCUUAAUCCAAUGUUGUACUCAUAUGUGAAUAAUUAUAUAUUAUAAAUUAUCAAAUAAGGUUAAAUUCAAUUAAAAUAAUCAAUUAUGAUUUGGAUUUUAAUAUAUCUAAUAGGAUGUAAGCCUUUAAUGUGUAGAAAUUUAAAGGUAAUUUCUAUUUCUGUGAUGGGUUGAAAUAGAAAUCUAAAAAAAACAGAAAAGUUAUCUAUAAAUAGGGUUAUAAUCUCUGGGUCACACGUAUUUUUAUUUGUUGUAUUUUUAGUACCACAAAAUAGCUCUUUCCUGAUAUCCCAUCUUUAGGAAAGAUAUCAAAAAGAAAUUAAAGAGCUCUCUCAAGGGAUUAGCGAAUACUUGUUGACCUAGAAGACCAUUUCAAAAUCUCUAAGGAUUCAAGUGGCAGUUAGUCAACAUGAAUCAAGGUACACUUCCGCAAUUUUACUGUUAAUUUAUUUCUUAAAAAUUACCAUAAAGGUUUUGGACUUAAUAGGUGAUGGUUUUCAUCAAAAGUUAAUGACAGGUGUCGAGCCUGUGCAAUAAUAAUUACCUGCUCGAAGAAUAUAUAAUUUUUGUGUAUAGCGGUGAGCAGGGUCGAAUCCACAGAGACUAUGGGAGAAUUUGUUUCUUUUAGAGUACGGAGAGCUGGGAAUUUUUAUAAAAUCAAGAAUAAUUAAACAACUCAAACAGAGAUAAAAAUCAAUAAAUAACCAAUUAAUAAAAAAAUUCACGAAAGCAAGCCGAAAUUAAAUCGAUGGUAGACAAUCUCUAGUCAAAGAUACAACCUCGCAGACACAGUCCAUUUAUCCGAUCAUUGAUGCAAAGAUGGUUUGCUCAAUUCAUUAACAGGUUAGUUAUAGUCGCCAACAAACUUUGACGACCAACUUUUCCUUAGUUUAUGGACGACCAAGGUACGACCAUUAAUCACCCCUAACCAAAAAAUAACCCUAAAUACGAUCGUAGAGUUCAAGUUUUCAAUUGCCUUAAGAAUUAGAAAACCUUAACCCUAAUCAAUAACACACUAAGAGGUUAUUUAAAUUAGAUUGUGUAUUCCCCUAACAUGUGUAAACGCUAGUUACCACUAAUAUUAAUCGACUAAACAAUUAUAGAUUUAGUGAUUAAUUUGGCAUUAGAUUAUUAGGUUACUUUGAAUAUCAGGCCCUAGACAUUUAGUUAAUGAAAUAAUCUCUAGAAAUUCAAGUAGAGAAUGCACAAAUAUCAAUAAAUGGGAGAAACGAGAUGAGAUUAGUUCGAUCUCACAGAUAUUCAGAACGGCGUCGUUGAGUUGAUCUCCGACUAGAUUAGGAAUUUAGCCAUGCCUCAUAGAGAAAUUUUCACGUGAAUUAGUAGAAUUCAUGAACAUCCAAUCUUGUUCCUUAAACAAUGUAAUAUGUUUCAUGCAAAAAGAGUAAAGGAACAAGAAGGAAUUAUCUACUGUCUUGCGGCCUCCAAAAAGGACGAAAAGAGAAUGUCCCUAAUCUAAACAAUGACUAGUCUUUAUUCUCGUCUGUCUCCUCGUCGAAUAAGGAAAAGAAAAAAAAAAAGAUAAAGCAACUCCCCAAUGUUCAUCGUUUCUUGUUUCCUAAUGCUAGUAAACUACUAGUCACGAAAGGAAAGGAAUUGGUUUAGCACAUCUUGGAGCCGGAUUUGCAAAGAUUCUCGAAGCUUCCUACGUGCAGCUUGUUAUUAAGAAAGUCUCCCUUUUUAGCAUUUUUCUGCUCCGCCUCCUGUAAUUAGGUUCAAAUACCAAAUAUAAGUAUAAUUCAAUAAUUAAAACAAUAUUUGGUGAGGGUAAAAAGGGAAAUUAAUCAUAAAUUUAAUAACAAAUUACGCCCUAUCAGUUAAUAUAAACAACCACCAUCAAGUGGUAUCAGAGCAGGAUAUGAUUGAUUAUUAGAAAAUAAUUUGGUAUUAAUAAUUCAUAGUUUUCAAGUUAUUUUUAAUUAGAAUUAUUUUUGUUUUGAUUGUGCGGUGGUUGACAAUCUUGAAUUGUGGUUUUAAUGUAUUUGUUUGCUUAUAUUUUCGGUAAAUUUGCACUGUCCAAUUCAUUGCUUUUGGUUGCAUAUAAAUCCAUGGGUUUGUCGAAAUCAAUAAGCAUGAUGCACAAUAUUUGUGGUUUUAAGUACAGAUAUUUGCUUUGUUUGUUAUGAUUAGUUGGUACAUGGCUCAAAUGCGCAUGGUUCCAGGAUCACGCGUGCUUAUCUUGUUGGAUUGUUGAAUUUUGUGAACCUCUUGAUAUAUUGGCACAAGUCAUAAUAUGUGGAACCCACAUACUUUUCAUGAUAUAAUUAAAUUAACUUGAUUUCUGAUUUCGGGAAGUUGUUCGUUUUUUCCCUAUUUCAACAGAAAGCCUUGCGGCUUGUUUUGUUAGUUUAUUCAUUCAAGAGUUUUGAUUAACAUAAUAUUUAGUAGGGCCCGCAUGAUAUGUAACUUAUUAAUAUGUUAAGAAAAUUAGGGUUUCUCUAAUUUGUGUGAACCCUAAUAAAGUUAAACAACACAUUUAAGCCUUUGAAAAAAAAAGUCCAUAAGAUUGGUUCACUAAGUAUAUAGUCUUAUAAGCAAGAUAAGAAAGAAAGAAAGAAAAAGGGGUUUCCGUGCAUCGAACAUAUGAGAACAACGAGGACUGGUUUUUUUUUUUUUUGCUUUUUUUUAACAUACGUGCAUCAUCGAACUAAAGAAUUUCAGACAAAACUACAAUUUAAAAUUUAUAACUUUGGGAAAGUGAAAAAGGGAGAGAAGCUAAAACAAAUUUAUUUGAGUUUUUUUUUUAUAUCUUGAUUAGCCAUUUGUUUUAUUGAAUCUUGCCCGAUUCCCGUCACAAAUGAAAAAUAUGAUUAAACAACAAUUGCACUGUAAUCAAAAUAAUAGUACGACCCAAUACUAAAGAAUGGAAAUUAACAUAUAAAAUGAAUCCAUAUAUCCAUAAUCCAAAAUGAAUUUGGCAAAUAGAGAAAACAAAAAUAAAACCACAAUUUUAGGGUAAAAAAAAGGAAAAUAAUUAAUUCUUCCGCAUUUCAGCUACAGGGCCAUAAUUUGGCGACCGAAAAACAAAGGGAAACCAAUGAAACAACACUAUUGGUUCAAAAAGUAAACACCACGGAUCGUAAGCUAAUAACUGUUUUUCGGCCUAGGUAAUUGACAAGAGCCACAGGGCUCCACACGCGUCUCAGCCCAUCACAUGAAUGUGAUAGACUCCCAAAUCCAAGAAGUUUGCUUGUUUCCAAGCCUGUAUCUCUACAGUACAUAGCCCCGGGGCUUGGAGAUUGGAGAAUUUAUAUAUAUAUAUAGUUACUUCCAAAUCUAAGUAUACUUGCACAUGACAUCAAGUAAACAUAAAACGGUGGAAAUGUGAGAACUUUCAUCCCAAUGCAAAAUGUGGUCUCUCACUCCUUAUUACGAGUCACCAGCGUGAACUUCCACUAGAAAUAAGACCGCAAAAAUAAAAAAGAAAGCAUACGAAUUCAAAGCCAUUAACAAAGAUAUGGAGUGGCAAUAGCAUGUAGAGGAUGUUUUCUGUGAACUGUGAUACCAGAUGCUUCAGUCAUGUCCAAAUCCUCUGGCUUCGUCCCAUCAGGCAAUGCAAAAUUAAAUUUGUUGACCAAUUUUGCCAAUGCAAGUUCAGCAACGGAUAUGGCAAAGUUGAUACCCGGGCAAACCCUUCGUCCGGAACCAAAAGGAAUUAACUCAAAGUUAAAACCUCGAAAAUCUAUAUUGGAAUUCAGAAACCUCUCAGGUUGAAAUUCCUCAGGGUUCUCCCACAGAAUGGGGUCUCUUGCAAUUGCACUAGCAUUCACCAACACUAGUGUGCCUGCUGCUAUAUCACACCCCAUUAUUUUGAUGUCUCGAGUUGAUUCUCG